rnacentral:rRNA from 1 species
ACAUGCAAGUCGAACGGGAUUAGGGGCUUGCUCCUAAUCUAGUGGCGCACGGGUGAGUAACGCGUAGAUAAUCUGCCUGAUGAUCCGGGAUAACACUUCGAAUGGGGUGCUAAUACCGGAUAAGCCCACGGGGUCUUUGGAUCUUGCGGGAAAAGGGGGGGACCUUCGGGCCUUCUGUCAUCAGAUGAGUCUGCGUACCAUUAGCUAGUUGGUAGGGUAAUGGCCUACCAAGGCUACGAUGGUUAGCUGGUNUGAGAGAAUGAUCAGCCACACUGGAAGUGAGACACGGUCCAGACUCGUACGGGAGGCAGCAGUGGGGAAUUAUGCGCAAUGGGCGAAAGCCUGACGCAGCAACGCGGAAUGAGUGAUGAAGGCUUUUGGGUCGUAAAGCUCUGUCGAGGGGAAAGAAGUGUAUUGUGGCUAAUAUCCACGAUACUUGACGGUACCCUUAAAGGAAGCACCGGCUAACUCCGUGCCAGCAGUCGUGGUAAUACGGGGGGUGCAAGCGUUGUUUGGAAUUAUUGGGCGUAAAGAGCGUGUAGGCGGCUUGUUAAGUCUUAUGUGAAAGCCCUGGGUUCAACCCAGGAAGUGCAUUGGAAACGGUCGGACUUGAAUACGGGAGAGGGCAGUGGAAUUCCUAGUGUAGGAGUGAAAUCAGUAGAUAUUAGGAGGAACACCGGUGGCGAAGGCGGCUGCUUGGACCUAUAUUGACGAUGAGACGCGAAAGCGUGGGUAGCAAACAGGAUUAGAUACCCUGGUAGUCCACGCCGUAAACGAUGAGAACUAGGUGUUGCGGGUAUUGACCCCUGCAGUGCAGCAGAUAACGCAUUAAGUUCUCCGCCUGGG